rnacentral:rRNA from 1 species
AUUGAACGCUGGCGGCAGGCCUAACACAUGCAAGUCGAGCGAGCGGCGGACGGGUGAGUAAUGUCUGGGACACUGCCUGAUGGAGGGGGAUAACUACUGGAAACGGUAGCUAAUACCGCAUACCAUCAGAUGUGCCCCGGUGGGAUUAGCUAGUAGGUGGGGUAACGGCUCACCUAGGCGACGAUCCCUAGCUGGUCUGAGAGGAUGACCAGCCACACUGGAACAGAGACACGGUGCAGACUCCUACGGGAGGCAGCAGUGGGAAAUAUUGCACAAUGAGCGCAAGCCUGAUGCAGCCAUGCCGCGUGUGAGAAGAAGGCCUUCGGGUUGUAAAGCACUUUCAGCGGGGAGACGUUACACGCAGAAGAAGCACCGGCUAACUCCGUGCCAGCAGCGCGGUAAUA